CCGUGCCCAAGAGAUCGGGAUAACACCUGGAAACAGAUGCUAAUACCGGAUAACAACAGAUGAUGCCUAUCAACUGUUUAAAAGAUGGUUCUGCUAUCACUCUUGGAUGGACCUGCGGUGCAUUAGCUAGUUGGUAGGGUAACGGCCUACCAAGGCGAUGAUGCAUAGCCGAGUUGAGAGACUGAUCGGCCACAUUGGGACUGAGACACGGCCCAAACUCCUACGAGGCAGCAGCA
rnacentral:rRNA from 1 species